AACGAACGCUGGCGGCAUGCCUAACACAUGCAAGUCGAACGAGACCUUCGGGUCUAGUGGCGCACGGGUGCGUAACGCCUGGGAACCUGCCCUUAGGUUCGGAAUAACUCCCCGAAAGGGGUGCUAAUACCGGAUAAUGUCUUCGGACCAAAGAUUUAUCGCCUUUGGAUGGGCCCGCGUUGGAUUAGCUAGUUGGUAGGGUAAAAGCCUACCAAGGCGACGAUCCAUAGCUGGUCUGAGAGGAUGAUCAGCCACACUGGGACUGAGACACGGCCCAGACUCCUACGGGAAGCAGCAGUGGGGAAUAUUGGACAAUGGGCGAAAGCCUGAUCCAGCAAUGCCGCGUGAGUGAUGAAGGCCUUAGGGUUGUAAAGCUCUUUUACCCGGGAUGAUAAUGACAGUACCGGGAGAAUAAGCUCCGGCUAACUCCGUG
rnacentral:rRNA from 1 species